rnacentral:rRNA from 1 species
AUGGGGGCUUUGAACCUCUUCCAAAACCUGCCGUCGAGCUUGAGCUGGGUCAAGCUCAUCCACGGCCAGGCGUGGCGUUUAUCGGUCCGGAGAGCAGGGUGUGGCUCAGUCAGCACCGGUCACGUACGUAAACGCACCAUGCACCAGUACCACACAUCAGUGACGCCAGGGAGUUGCAAGAGGAUAAGGCAAUCGUAUCCCCAUGACUCCGUUUGCUACGGUACGCAUGCAGCUAGCACAGCCGGCCGAAGCUCUGCUCUCAGCUCGACAACAAUGGCGAGAGCCUGCAAGUGCAGCCCCGCGGUGAGGCUGCUGCCGUAUCCGAUCACAGCACAGCUGGCGGGCAGCAGGAGCCACGGAAGAUGCAGAAGCCUCGCCGUUCACGCGCAGCUCCCAACCGAGGAUGAUUACCCCGCCGAGUCACCGAAAAGGGUCCAGGUUACACAGAGCCUCAGGAGGAGGCGCCGGAGGGGGCCCGGCGCGCGGCAGAGCCUGGUGUCCGUCGGGACGUCGCGCGGCGGAGGGGAUCAGUGGAGCAGCGACUUCGAGCUGACGCUCCGGCAGCUGAGGCUGGACGACCUGAUCGAGGAGGGGCAGAGCGACGCCGACGUCCUGGUGCACCUUCUAGUCCAGCAGCACACCCAGUUCGGAAUGUCGAUCAAAGGGCGAGUGGUCACAUCGCUCACCAAAAUAUGCGAUUCCUGCUCCGCCCCAUACUGCACAAAGAUUGAUGAGCAGUUCGACAUUACGGUGCUGUCUUCCUCCAGGAAAGACCAGAGCGGCUUGCCUGAAAUCGGAGACAGCGAUCCGUCAGUCAUGUAUGUGAAGCCAGGAACAGAAAUCGAUAUCGACUCGUCAAUCCAAGAGACAAUACGACUAACAGCGUCAGCCAAGAGUUCAUGUUCGGAGGCGUGUGAGAAGUCUCCUGUCGUGUGGAAACGUGCUGGUAACCAGAAGAAGCGUUACAGCCAAACGUGGUCAAAACUUCUUGAUCUCAAGAGAACUCUGGAUAAGGCGCACAGCUAA